rnacentral:rRNA from 1 species
GACGAACGUUGGCGGCGUGCUUAAUACAUGCAAGUCAACUGAAGCAGUGGUAGCAAUAUCGCUGUGGAGGUGGCGCACGGGUGAGUAACACGUAGGUAAUCUGCCUUCAGGUCUGGCAUAACUCCGGGAAACCGGGGCUAAUAGCAGAUGAUGCAGCGGCUCGACAUCGAGACAGUUGUUAAAGCUAUGGCGCCUGAAGAUGAGCCUGCGCCUGAUUAGCUAGUUGGCGGGGUAACGGCCCACCAAGGCAACGAUCAGUAGCUGGUCUGAGAGGAUGAUCAGCCACACUGGAACUGAGACACGGUCCAGACUCCUACGGGAGGCAGCAGUAAGGAAUAUUGCUCAAUGGGAGAAAUCCUGAAGCAGCAACGCCGCGUGAGGGACGAAGGGCUUUUGCUUGUAAACCUCUGUAGUGAGAGAAAAAAAUCCCAAUCUUUGGGACAUGAUGGUAUCUCAAAAGUAAGCCCCGGCUAACUACGUG